rnacentral:rRNA from 1 species
UAGGGAAUAUUAGAAAUGGACGCAAGUCUGAUCUAGCAACACCGCGUGUGCGAAGAAGGCCUUCGGGUCGUAAAGCACUCUUUGGAAGGAAUAGGAAGGAAUGUACUUCCAGAAUAAGUCUCGGCUAACUACGUGCCAGCAGCCGCGGUAACACGUAGGAGGCAAACGUUAUCCGGAUUUACUGGGCGUAAAGCGCGUGUAGGUGGUACUGUAAGUAGGGCGUGAAAGCUCCUGGCUCAACUGGGAGAGGCCGUUCUAAACUACAGAACUAGAGGAUGGUAGAGGGAGGUGGAAUUCCAGGUGUAGCGGUGGAAUGCGCAGAUAUCUGGAGGAACACCGGUGGCGAAGGCGGCCUCCUGGACCAUUCCUGACGCUCAGACGCGAAAGCUAGGGUAGCAAACG